AGGGGUGAAGAGUCUAUAGUCCUACAGCAGCUGAAUGCUGAGGUCUCAUUUCUUUAAAGACAAAACAGACUACUGCACUUCAGACCUUGGAAACACAGCAGCUUUCUGAAGGUGAAUUGCUUCUGUAGCUGAGGGGCAGAUGUCUAACCAAGUAAUAUGUUCCAGAACCACAUUCAGCAUCACUAACACAUCUAUUAAAGCCUGUGAAACAUAGGCAUGAACCAAAGGAUGGAAUAGUGAAGGAAUAUGAAUAAUAACAGAAGAAAGUCACUCCUAAGGUUUUGGCCAGGAUAGCAUAUUCACAAUGAGCUAAUGAAGACUUUGCAACACCCCCCACCCCCUUUUUUUUUAAUGCAUUCAGCUUAAAAUGCAAGCUGAAUGAAUCAAAACGAGGAGUGUUCAGCAGAGCAAGAAAGACUGCAGAGGACUGCUCCUGUGAAAAUUAAUAGAGACAUUCUGGAACCCUACCUCACACACAGGAACAAGUCUGUAACCUCAACGAUCAAAAAUCUGUCAUAUAUGUAGCUUUGGGGGAUUCAACAAGCUGUUUGAAAGACUGGGAACUGUAGGAGAAAUUAAAAACAAAUUAAGUAUGUUUAUUACGGUGUCAUGAUUUCAUUUUGCCUUCAGAAACUAGCACGUAUUAUUUUGCUGAACAGACAUGGAACAGGUUUUUUUGAUCAGUAUAAAUUAAAAUGCAUUUUGCCCUG